rnacentral:rRNA from 1 species
UACGGGGGGGGCAAGCGUUGUUCGGAAUUACUGGGCGGAAAGGGUCCGUAGGUGGCCAACUAAGUCAGACGUGAAAUCCCUCAGCUUAACUGGGGAACUGCGUCUGAGACUGGAUGGCUUGAGUGCAGGAGAGGAAUGCGGAAUUCCAGGUGUAGCGGUGAAAUGCGUAGAUAUCUGGAGGAACACCGGUGGCGAAGGCGGCAUUCUGGACUGCAACUGACACUGAACGACGAAAGCCAGGGGAGCAAACGGG